rnacentral:rRNA from 1 species
GGGUUGUGAGGUUAAGCGACUAAGCGUACACGGUGGAUGCCCUGGCAGUCAGAGGCGAUGAAGGACGUGCUAAUCUGCGAUAAGCGUCGGUAAGGUGAUAUGAACCGUUAUAACCGGCGAUUUCCGAAUGGGGAAACCCAGUGUGAUCCGUCACACUAUCAUUACGUGAAUACAUAGCGUAAUGAAGCGAACCGGGGGAACUGAAACAUCUAAGUACCCCGAGGAAAAGAAAUCAACCGAGAUUCCCCCAGUAGCGGCGAGCGAACGGGGAGCAGCCCAGAGUCUGAAUCAGCUUGUGUGUUAGUGGAACGGUCUGGAAAGUCCGACGGUACAGGGUGAUAGUCCCGUACACCAAAAUGCACAGGUUGUGAACUCGAAGAGUAGGGCGGGACACGUGGUAUCCUGUCUGAAUAUGGGGGGACCAUCCUCCAAGGCUAAAUACUCCUGACUGACCGAUAGUGAACCAGUACCGUGAGGGAAAGGCGAAAAGAACCCCGGCGAGGGGAGUGAAAAAGAACCUGAAACCGUGUACGUACAAGCAGUGGGAGCCUACUUGUUAGGUGACUGCGUACCUUUUGUAUAAUGGGUCAGCGACUUAUAUUCUGUAGCAAGGUUAACCGUAUAGGGGAGCCGAAGGGAAACCGAGUCUUAACUGGGCGUUAAGUUGCAGGGUAUAGACCCGAAACCCGGUGAUCUAGCCAUGGGCAGGUUGAAGGUUGGGUAACACUAACUGGAGGACCGAACCGACUAAUGUUGAAAAAUUAGCGGAUGACUUGUGGCUGGGGGUGAAAGGCCAAUCAAACCGGGAGAUAGCUGGUUCUCCCCGAAAGCUAUUUAGGUAGCGCCUCGUGAAUUCAUCUUCGGGGGUAGAGCACUGUUUCGGCUAGGGGGUCAUCCCGACUUACCAACCCGAUGCAAACUGCGAAUACCGAAGAAUGUUAUCACGGGAGACACACGGCGGGUGCUAACGUCCGUCGUGAAGAGGGAAACAACCCAGACCGCCAGCUAAGGUCCCAAAGUCAUGGUUAAGUGGGAAACGAUGUGGGAAGGCACAGACAGCCAGGAUGUUGGCUUAGAAGCAGCCAUCAUUUAAAGAAAGCGUAAUAGCUCACUGGUCGAGUCGGCCUGCGCGGAAGAUGUAACGGGGCUAAACCAUGCACCGAAGCUGCGGCAGCGACACUAUGUGUUGUUGGGUAGGGGAGCGUUCUGUAAGCCGUUGAAGGUGUGCUGUGAGGCAUGCUGGAGGUAUCAGAAGUGCGAAUGCUGACAUAAGUAACGAUAAUGCGGGUGAAAAACCCGCACGCCGGAAGACCAAGGGUUCCUGUCCAACGUUAAUCGGGGCAGGGUGAGUCGACCCCUAAGGCGAGGCCGAAAGGCGUAGUCGAUGGGAAACAGGUUAAUAUUCCUGUACUUGGUGUUACUGCGAAGGGGGGACGGAGAAGGCUAUGUUAGCCGGGCGACGGUUGUCCCGGUUUAAGCAUGUAGGCGGAGGUUCCAGGUAAAUCCGGUACCUUUUUAACGCUGAGGUGUGAUGACGAGGCACUACGGUGCUGAAGUAACAAAUGCCCUGCUUCCAGGAAAAGCCUCUAAGCAUCAGGUAACACGAAAUCGUACCCCAAACCGACACAGGUGGUCAGGUAGAGAAUACCAAGGCGCUUGAGAGAACUCGGGUGAAGGAACUAGGCAAAAUGGUGCCGUAACUUCGGGAGAAGGCACGCUGAUAUGUAGGUGAAGUGAUUUACUCAUGGAGCUGAAAUCAGUCGAAGAUACCAGCUGGCUGCAACUGUUUAUUAAAAACACAGCACUGUGCAAACACGAAAGUGGACGUAUACGGUGUGACGCCUGCCCGGUGCCGGAAGGUUAAUUGAUGGGGUUAUCCGUAAGGAGAAGCUCUUGAUCGAAGCCCCGGUAAACGGCGGCCGUAACUAUAACGGUCCUAAGGUAGCGAAAUUCCUUGUCGGGUAAGUUCCGACCUGCACGAAUGGCGUAAUGAUGGCCAGGCUGUCUCCACCCGAGACUCAGUGAAAUUGAACUCGCUGUGAAGAUGCAGUGUACCCGCGGCAAGACGGAAAGACCCCGUGAACCUUUACUAUAGCUUGACACUGAACACUGGUCCUUGAUGUGUAGGAUAGGUGGGAGGCUUUGAAGUGUGGACGCCAGUCUGCAUGGAGCCAUCCUUGAAAUACCACCCUUUAAUGGCUGGUGUUCUAACGUGG